rnacentral:misc_RNA from 1 species
UACGGAGGAUCCAGGCGUUAUCCGGAAUCAUUGGGUUUAAAGGGUCUGUAGGCGGGUGCGUAAGUCUGAGGUGAAAGUCUGCCGCUCAACUGUAGAACUGCCAUUGAUACUGCACACCUUGAGUAAUUAUGAAGUGGUUAGAAUAUGUAGUGUAGCGGUGAAAUGCAUAGAUAUUACACAGAAUACCGAUUGCGAAGGCAGAUCACUAAUAAUUUACUGACGCUGAUGGACGAAAGCGUAGGGAGCGAACAGG